UCAUGAAACUAUCACUUAAUAAAUGUAAAUAAAUAAAUAAAAAGAAAUGCUUCAUAUAAUCAUGUAAAUUUAUAUUUUAUGCUCAUAAGAUCACACUACUAUUUGUAUAUGCUAUGCUUAAUGAAAAAGCAAUGAAUAGAAGAACGCAAUCUUAUCAUUACCGUGGGAUGUAAUGCGAUUAUAGCAAAAGCAAAUGCAAUGAUCAUGGUCAUGACAAUGAAGAAG
rnacentral:misc_RNA from 1 species